rnacentral:sRNA from 1 species
GGGAGAUGUCCACACCAGAAGGGUAGUCCAGGCCCAGGGAAGCAGGCAGUGUGGCGCCCGGCACAGGUGGCCCGGGCCUCACGGAGCUCGUGGUGCCGGGUCCUGACAGCAUGGAGGAGUGUGAAGCGCUCUGCUCGCGCCUGGCCAUCAUGGUGAAUGGGCGGUUCCGCUGCCUGGGCAGCCCGCAACAUCUCAAGGGCAGAUUCGCGGCCGGUCACACACUGACCCUGCGGGUGCCCGCCGCAAGAUCCCAGCCGGCAGCGGCCUUCGUGGCGGCCGAAUUCCCUGGGGCGGAGCUGCGCGAGGCACAUGGAGGCCGCCUGCGCUUCCAGCUGCCGCCGGGAGGGCUCUGCGCUCUGGCGCGCGUCUUUGGAGAGCUGGCGGUGCACGGCCCAGAGCACGGCGUGGAGGACUUUUCCGUGAGCCAGACGAUGCUGGAGGAGGACCAGGGGAAGGACGAGGGCGACGAGGAGCAGAAGGAGGCAGGAGUUGGAGUGGACCCCGCGCCAGGCCUGCAGCACCCCAAACGCAUCAGCCAGUUCCUCGAUGACCCUAGCACUGCCGAGACUGUGCUCUGAGCCUCCCUCCCCUGCGGGGCCGCGGAGAGGCCCUGGGAAUGGCAAGGGCAGGGUAGAGUGCCUAGGAGCCCUGGACUCAGGCUGGCAGAGGGGCUGGUGCCCUGGAGAAAAUAAAGAGAAGGCUGGAGAGAAGCCAUGGUGGUCAAA